rnacentral:rRNA from 1 species
UACGUAGGUGACAAGCGUUGUCCGGAUUUACUGGGCGUAAAGAGCGCGCAGGCGGUCGUUCAAGUCGAGUGUGAAAGCCCCCGGCUCAACCCAGGAACUGCGUCCGAUACUGGUUGGCUUGAAUCCGGGAGAGGGAUGUGGAAUUCCAGGUGUAGCGGUGAAAUGCGUAGAUAUCUGGAGGAACACCGGUGGCGAAGGCGACAUCCUGGACCGGUAUUGACGCUGAGGCGCGAAAGCCAGGGGAGCAAACGGG